GAUGAAGAACGCAGCGAAAUGCGAUAAGUAAUGCGAAUUGCAGGAUUCCGUGAGUCAUCGAAUCUUUGAACGCACAUUGCGCCCUUUGGCAUUCCGAAGGGCAUGCCUGUUCGAGCGUCAUUUAUCAACCCUCAAGCCCGGCUUGCGGUUGGGUCCCGCCGUGGGCGACCACGGCGGACCCGAAAGGUAAUGGCGGUGCCCGUGGGGCCCUGGACGCAGCGAGCUUCUCGGCACGCGUCCCGGCGGUCCCCGGCGCCGUCUCCACCAAUCCACCACGCAGAUUGACCUCGGAUCAGGUAGGGAUACCCGCUGAACUUAAGCAUAUCAAUAAGCGGAGGA
rnacentral:misc_RNA from 1 species